rnacentral:rRNA from 1 species
AGUGAACGCUGGCGGUAGGCCUAACACAUGCAAGUCGAACGGCAGCACAGUAAGAGCUUGCUCUUACGGGUGGCGAGUGGCGGACGGGUGAGGAAUACAUCGGAAUCUACUUUUUCGUGGGGGAUAACGUAGGGAAACUUACGCUAAUACCGCAUACGACCUACGGGUGAAAGCAGGGGAUCUUCGGACCUUGCGCGAUUGAAUGAGCCGAUGUCGGAUUAGCUAGUUGGCGGGGUAAAGGCCCACCAAGGCGACGAUCCGUAGCUGGUCUGAGAGGAUGAGCAGACACACUGGAACGGACACACGGUCCAGAGUCCUACGGGAGGCCGCAGAGGGAAAUAUUGGACAAAGGGCGGAAGCCUGAUCAAGCCAUGCCGCGUGGGUGAAGAAGGCCUUCGGGUGGUAAAGCCCUUUUGUUGGGAAAGAAAAGCAGCAGGUUAAUACAACGCUGUUCUGACGGUACCCAAAGAAUAAGCACCGGCUAACUUCGU